AGGAGAUGGACGGACCGUUCCCGCUUCCUCUGCUGCCCAGUCAGUUCUGCUGAGGUAUGGGAAACUUGAAGACAGAGUGAAAAGAAAAAAUAGAGAAAGAGAGAGCACCUUCCGAGGAGAUCCCCUGGCUCCGAAGACCCCUACAAUUACCCCGACUCCCCAGGGAGCUCCUUCCCGGUAUAAAGAGUGGAAGCCAGAAGACGAAGUGCUGGAAGGCGAAAACAGCUAAACUGCAAGCGAAUCAGGGAUGAAUUUGCCAUCCAGUCUGCAGUUGAGUCAGAUCCCAUUGUUCCGGAGGGACUUUUUUCUUCUCGAUCAUAGCGCUAUGGUGAGGUCAGAUUUUAACACUGGGGAAGCGGGCCGGGGGAGCAUAGAGCCAUAAGCACCUUCUUGGACCUCUUUGAGCACCUUCCCUGAAAAUGUCAAAUGAGUUCCUGAUAAGGGCUUCCCGCGAUCUUAUGUUUGGAAAAGCGUCUCUCAGGAUGGAGAGAGGCUUCUUCCAAAUGCCAGUCCGAAGCCUUGGCCGAGCGAGAGACAUCUUCAGGACACCCAGGAAAGACAACAGGGAGGGAAAAAAGAAUCACACUCAGUGACACAGCUACAAGGUCAGCAGGAGGAAUGGGACGUGCAGGGAGGCCCAAGCAGAUGCAGGCAAGCCCCAACCCUCCACCCGCACAGGCAGCGCCACGGGCUCCGGCUGUGGCUCCAAGUGCUGAAGACCCUGAUUUAGCAAAGCUGCCCAGAAGCUCACAGGCAGUCCUAUCUCAGGGUCACAGAGCAGACCGCUUCCAUGAUACUUCCUGGCAAACCCUCAAAGAUGACCUGAGGAAGGGAAAUCAGUGCUAGUCUCUUGAUCCUGCUUGAUCAGCCUGGCCCUGUCCAGCCACACUCCACCAUUCAAGCCAGAACCGUCUGUCUUUCUUUCUUUACUUCCUUCUCCAUUCAUUCUUUCAGUCAUUCAUUCAUCUGCAGAUCCCAAUGACACAGGCAGGCCACAGCGUGCACCUGCACAGGCACCAGGCCACCGCCAGAGGGCGCAACUCUGCUUUCAGAACGCGGUGGAUCCGUCGCUUAGCAACUGCGUGGGUCUCAGUGAGGCCCCGGCAACGGUUGAGGCGCAUGCGCAGUGGGAGGGCAGGCUGCCAUUCCAGGGUCCUGGGCUCUGGGAGGGGAGGAAGAGGCCAGGAUGGGAGAGGCAAAAGCAGGAAGCUGUUGAAUGCCACUCUGGCUGACGGCGCCCCUCUACCAGCCACCCCCAAGACCAUCGUCCUCCCUCAGGAGAAAUGAGGCCUUGGGGGAACCAGGUGGCAGAGGGAUCACCUUGAUCUCCUCCCCAGUCUGGUUUUGGCAGACAGGGCCCAACCUCGAUUCCAAAGAAGGAUGCAAGGACCCGAGCAGAAGGAUUUCAGAGGAGAUUAGACACAGCUGAAGGGAGUGGGAACCCUGUGCCGGACAACACGUGCGGCCUCGAGGAGGAGGAGAGAAUCAUGGAGCAAGCACAGAGAGCAGAAACAUCAAGAUGGGCAUGUAUGGAUUUGGGGUCCAGGAAGGAAAGAUGGAGAGAGAGCCUGAGUGUUUCUGAGGCAGUAUUUCGAGAUUCCAAGACUGACAGGGACCCCAAGCCAUCCUUUGGGCCACAAGAACCACCCCCGCAGGCAUCACCACCAAGAAUAUCCCAUCUGAGAUUGGAAGAGGAAAUGUGCUGAUCGCUACCUCAAGGUCUGAGACAUGUACAGAGAGGGUGAGUUGAAAGAAAAAUGCAGAGAGAGCCCCUUCGAAGGAAUGCUCCCCAACACGAAGACCUUCCACCGACACGCACCCCCCCCCGCCCCAACCCAGGGACCUCCUUCCCAGUCGAAAGACUGGAAGCAGGGACGUGGAGUGUUGGAAGGACAAAACAAAGAGCUAAACUGCAAGUGAAUCAAUCGUGAAUUUGCCAUCCAGUACGCGGAUGAGUCUGUCCACUUGUCCCAAAAUGAUAUUCCUCUUCCUGAUCAUGGCACCAUGGUAAGAUCAAGUCUGAGCGCUGGGGAAGGGGGCUGGGGGAGCAUGGCGCCAUAGCACCUUCUUGGAGCUCUUUGGGCCCCUUCCCUGCGAGUGUCCAAAGAGUUCCCGAUAAGGUCUUCCGGCGUUCUUGGGUUUGCAAAGGUGUCUCUUGGGAUGGAAGGGGCGGUUCUUCCAACUGCUGGUCCGAAGCCUUGGCCAGGUGAGGGGCACCUGCAGGACACCCAGGAAAGACAACAAGGUGGGGAAAAGAAGAAUCAUACUCGGCCGCACGGCUGAACACAGCCACUUGGCCACACAUCCACAAGGUGAGUGGGAGGAAUGGGGAGUGCAGGGAGGCCCGAGCCAUGCAGGCCAGCCCCAUCCCUCUACUCGCAGGGGCAGAUCCGUAGGCCUGGGCUGUGCCUCCAGGCGCUGAAGCCCCUGAUUCAGCAAAACUGCCUGGAACCACACAGGCAGUCCUGUCUCGGGCUCACAGGGCAGACUCUAUCCUCCACUGUCCCAGACGUGCCUUCAAAGAUGACCUGAGGAAGGGAUGUCAGUGCUAGGCUCCUGAUCCACUUGGUCAGCCUGGCCCUAUCCGGCCAGCUCCAUCUUCCAAGCCGGAACCAUCCAUCCUUGCUUCUUUCCUUACGUCCUUCUCCAUUCAUCCUUUCAAUCAUUCAUCUGCAGGUCGCACUGAUGUACGCAGGCCACAGCAUGCGCCUGCACAAGCACCUGGCCAGCGGCAGAGGGUGUGCCCACUCUCUCCGAGCCAGAUGGACCCGUCGUUUAGCAACCGCGUGGCUCGUUGUGAGGCCAUAGGCGCUCGUUGCCACACGCGCGGUUGGAGCGCUGGCUUCCACUCCAGGGCGCUGGGCUCUUGGAGGGGUGAGGGAGAGGCCAGGAUGGCCAAUGGGAGUGGUGAGAGGAGGUGGGGAGGGCGUGCCUACUUUCCUCUCCUCAGGUCCCUGACAACCCAGAUCUCUGGGCGUUGCUGCCGCUGCCGCUGCCAUUUCUCCUUCCUCCGUCGUCCCCUCCAGCACCGCCACUGCCCCAGCUGAUUUCCUACCCGUUCCCCACACCCCCGUGGUUGGGCUGGACUUUCUGCUGAGAGCCCAGCAUGUCAGUCACCACUGAGGUCGCAAAUGUGGACAGGGUGGCUUGGCAAUGGGUCCGACGGGCUGGUGGGGCAGGAUGAAAUCUGGUGAGGUGGGAGUGAGGAAGAUCUCCGAGUCUCGCUCUCAGUGAUGGUCAUGGCAAGUCUCAAUCCAUUGACUCUGAGACGGGUUCCUCCCCUAGAUGUGGGCAGAGGAGGCCCAUUCCCUGGCCACACACCACAGGGGCCCCUGCCUCUGCCGGCGCCUUUCAGGAACCUGUUGAAUCGCCCUCUCCCCCAGCGCCCCUCCACCCUCUCUGCCCUAGACCAUCUUCCCUCAGGAGCUGGGGCAUGACGGGCGCGGACCUGUAUGUGCAGUGUGCUCCUCCCUGGUCAGGCACACACGUUGUCUGGCAGCAUCCUCCUCAGACAGGCAGGAUGCCACUUUCCGGAAAACUUGCAGGACUCAGGGCUCUUUCCUCCAUUGUUGUCUUGGUGAGAGUCUUGGCUUGGGUGGCAGGUACAGCCAGCCUCCUUUGAACAAAGCAUGCAAGCCAUAGGGUGCUCCUUUCCCUCUGCCCCACAUCUGUGCACUCAGGGUGAGGACCAGAGGAUGGUCUUCCUUCGCCCUUAGUCAUGGAUUUCCUCCAAGAUUAGUGUCCUAGGCAGCAGGGAAGCAUGGCUUUCCUUACCCAGGAGAAGAGGGCGAGACCUGCUGAUGGAAGAGCAUGCGUGGUGGGCUCCCUGUUCCUUAGGUGGCCUGCCUAGGGGUGGCCAGACUCCUUUUUCAAGUCUUUUUCAGGCUGCUGACUUGACAAAGCCUUUCUUCCUCCUGGAGUUUAAAAGUUUGGGUCGUGCUAUGAGGACGUGUUUUUUCAAGGAACAAAUGAGGCCUAGGAGGAACCAGGUGGCAGAGGGCUAGCCUUGAUCUCCUCUCCAGUCCGGUGUUGGCAAACAGGUCCAGACUAAGACUUCCAAAGAAUAGAAGCAGUGACCUGAGCAAAAGGGUUUAAGAGGAGGUGAGACACAGCUGAAGGAAAUGGGAACCCUGUGCCCUGAAACACAUGGGCUCUCAAGUAAGAGGAGAGAAUCCUAGAAAAGACUGAGGAGCAAACAGAAGCACAGAGAACAGAAACAUCAAGACAACAUGUGUGGAUUUGGUAUCCAGUAGGGAAAGAUUGAGAGAGAGCUUGAGUGUUUCUGAGGCAGUGUUUGGAGAUUCCAAGAUUGGCACUGACCCCAAACCAUUCUUUGGACCAUAAGAAGAACCCCCGGAGGGGUCAU
ensembl:lncRNA